rnacentral:lncRNA from 1 species
AGACACAACUACUUUUUUCAUAAGAAAUGUCUACCAUUAACAUAAGAGAAAUUAAAAUAAAGUAGACUUUCUGGAAAUCUAAAUUGUUCUUGAGAUUGAAUCAAUAAUGGAAGGUGAAAGUUGCAAAGUCUACAUUUAACAUAAGACACGUCUACUAUUUUCAUUACAAACGUCUACCAUUAACAUAAGAGAAAUCAAAGAAAAGUAGACUUUCUGGAAAAUUAAAUUGUUCUUGAGAUUGAAGCAAAUUAACCAAGGUAAAAAAUGCAAAGUCUACAUGUAACAUAAGACACAACAACUUUUUUAUAAGAAAUAGCUACCAUUAACAUAAAAGAAAUCAAAGAAAAGUAGAAUUUCUGGAAAUCUAAAUUGUUCUUGAGAUUGAAGCAACCCAAUGUAAAAGAUACAAAGUCUACAUUUAACAUAAGACACCUCUACUUAUUUUCAUUAGAAAUGUCUACCAUUAACAUAAGAGAAAUCAAAGAAAAGUAGACUUUCUGGAAAUACUAAAUUGUUCUUGAGAUUGAACCAACCCAAGGUAAAGAUGCAAAGUCUACAUUUAACAUAAGACACAACUAUUUUUUUCAUAAGAAAUGUCUACCAUUAACAUAAGAGAAAUCAAAGAAAAGUAGACUUCCUGGAAAACUAAAUUGUUCUUGAGAUUGAAUCAAUAAUGGAAGGUGAAAGUUGCAAAGUCUACAUUUAACAUAAGACACCUCUACUAUUUUCAUUAGAAACGUCUACCAUUAACAUAAGAGAAAUCAAAGAAAAGUAGAUUUUCUGGAAAAUUAAAUUGUUCUUGAGAUUGAAGCAAAUUAAUCAAGGUAAAAAAUGCAAACUCUACAUGUAACAUAAGACACAACAACUUUUUUC